CCUGUGCCCUGAAUCCUAAUUGUGUGCACCUGUGCCCUUACGCUUCUGUGUGUAUUUAGUCAGUGUCUUCCCCUUGUCUUGUGCCAGUGCGUCUUGUCUCGUCAGGAGUACCAGCGAUCACGUGAUCCCUGAACUCU